UACGUAGGGGGCUAGCGUUGUCCGGAAUCAUUGGGCGUAAAGAGCGUGUAGGCGGUCCGGUAAGUCCGCUGUGAAAGUCGGGGGCUCAACCCUCGAAUGCCGGUGGAUACUGUCGGACUAGAGUCCGGAAGAGGCAAGUGGAAUUCCCGGUGUAGCGGUGAAAUGCGCAGAUAUCGGGAGGAACACCAAUGGCGAAGGCAGCUUGCUGGGACGGUACUGACGCUGAGGCGCGAAAGCGUGGGGAGCAAACAGG
rnacentral:rRNA from 1 species